CCCGUACCUAUCAAAGUAGCAUAGACAUCAACGCGAGAAAUGACAGGCAACAUGACAUUGAAACUUCAACUGUCAAAUGCAGCAUACCUUCAACGUGGCAAGAAGACACAGUGCAAUUAUUAGUUGGAUCUACCUAGAGAAAAAUAGUUUCUAAACCUAAAUUACUAUUAUAAUUAGUUAAAAUUCCUACCUAAAUUAGUUUCUAUCAAUUGAAAUAUUCUAAUGAAAUCAAGUUUAGCCGAUAAUUGGGAAACUAAGAUACUUACGCUAAUAGUACGGGAUCGAAAGGUGUUAAACUACGUGAAAUUUGGCUGUUUACCCAUAUUCUAAGUAGACACGCAAAGAAAACAGAAACAAAGGGUUAGUUUGGACACAGUCGGAG